CACUGUUUCCUACUGAUGCGUCAACAAAAAACUAGAUCGGUAAGAGCUGCUACCCAUUACGCCACCUGGUUACUGGCACCAAAAACACAACUUCCACGAAAAUAAAGCCGCAAAAAGAACGAAUCAAAUGCUCGGGAGCCGUGGUUGAACAUUCGGCUUUCAGACACUGUUGAGCGCCACGUACGGCCCGUACAAAUGUCGUAUCCAUAUUGAAUCUCUAUCUUUCAUCCAUCCUCCGUGCCCCCUUUCUUUUCUUUUCUCGUCUUCGUUCACCGAAGGCUUUGGAAGGGCAGAAGAAGGAAUAUGGGGAAACCAGGAGACGAGAAAUAACAUUACAAACCAUAAGAAUCGACUACCAGUAUCGAUACAGUUGACGAUGGAGACGAAAACUAAUAAUCGAUAGAAUUCCACCUGUUGUGCCAGUUAAGCACCUGUUACAGAACCCGCCUUGAGCGACAUUGCAACAUUAUUACAUCUUUCUUUUUAUCGAGAAUGAGAAAAUAAUUCCUCCAAAACCAUCAAUUUUAUUUUCGAUGCAACUUCUCCUCUCUUAAGUCUUAAGAAAUCUCUUAACGACUCAGACUACAUCAAUUUGUUCCGUCUCCUACUGCGUCGAAUGGCUUCUGCUACCCCUCAAGCUUUUCAAACGAUCGACUGCACAAUGGAGACGAAAGGAAAUAUGCCAAACUUCUCGUAAAUGUCAUCCUUUUUACUAACUCAUCGCCUCCAUGAUUUCUUCGGGGCAACUUUUCAAGAUUCGAUCCUAUUUACCCAUCUCAUUUGGUAUCCGUUGAAUGUGAGAUGAGCUUGUCAUAGGCGAAAAAAAAAGAAUUUGGGACGAAAAGAGAACAGACAAAAACUGAGACACUUUUCGUAGAAGCUGUUCAAAUAAUGUAUCAGCCAGCGUUCUGAAACGCUUUCGUCAAUAAACUAGUUUGGCCUGAAAGAUUGUGACUCAUGACGAUUGGGCCUAAA